rnacentral:rRNA from 1 species
AACGAACGCUGGCGGCAUGCCUAACACAUGCAAGUCGAACGAAGUCUUCGGGCUUAGUGGCGCACGGGUGCGUAACGCGUGGGAAUCUGCCCUUGGGUUCGGAAUAACAGUUAGAAAUGACUGCUAAUACCGGAUGAUGUCUUCGAACAAAGAUUUAUCGCCCAAGGAUGGGCCCGCGUAGGAUUAGGUAGUUGGUGUGGUAAUGGCCCACCAAGCCGACGAUCCUUAGCUGGUCUGAGAGGAUGAUCAGCCACACUGGGACUGAGACACGGCCCAGACUCCUACGGGAGGCAGCAGUGGGGAAUAUUGGACAAUGGGCGAAAGCCUGAUCCAGCAAUGCCGCGUGAGUGAUGAAGGCCUUAGGGUUGUAAAGCUCUUUUACCAGGGAUGAUAAUGACAGUACCUGGAGAAUAAGCUCCGGCUAACUCCGUGCCAGCAGCCGCCGUAAAAC